rnacentral:rRNA from 1 species
UACGUAGGAUCCAAGCAUUAUCCGGAAUUACUGGGCGUAAAGAGUUGCGUAGGUGGCAUUGUAAGCAAGACAUGAAAUCGUGUGGCUCAACCAUACGGCUAUGUUUUGAACUGCAAAGCUAGAGAAUGAGAGGGGUAGAUGGAAUUACUAGUGUAGGAGUGAAAUCCGUAGAUAUUAGUAGGAACACCGAUAGCGUAGGCAGUCUACUGGCUCAUUUCUGACACUCAGGCACGAAAGCGUGGGGAGCGAACAGG